rnacentral:rRNA from 1 species
GCUGACGAGUGGCGGACGGGUGAGUAAUGUUUGGGAAACUGCCUGAUGGAGGGGGAUAACUACUGGAAACGGUAGCUAAUACCGCAUAACGUCGCAAGACCAAAGAGGGGGACCUUCGGGCCUCUUGCCAUCGGAUGUGCCCAGAUGGGAUUAGCUUGUUGGUGGGGUAACGGCUCACCAAGGCGACGAUCCCUAGCUGGUCUGAGAGGAUGACCAGCCACACUGGAACUGAGACACGGUCCAGACUCCUACGGGAGGCAGCAGUGGGGAAUAUUGCACAAUGGGCGCAAGCCUGAUGCAGCCAUGCCGCGUGUAUGAAGAAGGCCUUCGGGUUGUAAAGUACUUUCAGCGGGGAGGAAGGGAGUAAAGUUAAUACCUUUGCUCAUUGACGUUACCCGCAGAAGAAGCACCGGCUAACUCCGUGCCAGCAGCCGCGGUAAUACGGAGGGUGCAAGCGUAAUCGGA